rnacentral:lncRNA from 1 species
ACCUGCACGCCCCGCCGCCGCAGGACGGGAGCCGGGAGGGCAGCGGACGGGCCCGGGCUGCCCGACGGGGCUGCGGGGAGCCGGACGGCGCGAGCUGCGGGGCCUCUGGGAGCCUGGUGGGCGGCGGGCGGGGCCGAAGGCAGAGCCGGGAGCCGCCUGCAGCAGCAGCCUCGCCGCCACGCCCUCGACGCCGGCGAGAGCGGCCCCCUGGGCUGGGACUAGGGCGGUGUCCCGGCUGAGCUAGGCUGCCGGCGCCGCGCGCCCGCCUCGUCCCCUCCUGUUCUGGCAGGGCGCGCGCACGGCGGCGCAGGCGCCAGAGCCCAGGACAAGGCGGGGACCCGGGCGGGGACCGGGGCGGGGGCGCGCGGGGGCCGGGGUGGGGGUGUCUCGCCGCGCGCGCCCUCCUCCCGCUCCUCCGGGUUCCUGGUCCCCAGCCUGUGGGGGGCUUGGGCUGUAGCGCUGGGGCGGGGGCUUUAGAUCACCCCGAAAACAGGACCUCUGGCGACCUUCUCGUUUUCCACCGGGAGCGGAGAGAGCCGAUCUCCUUUUCCUGCUAGCCCCGUAGGACAGUCCCCGGAGCAGCUCAUAGGAAUAUGACGAACGUUUACUCAGGGCUGGUUACUAUGUACACUGCGCCCCGCGCGCGGCGAGUUUACCUCGGUUCACCUCCCGGCAACCGGCGGCCCGGAUAUUAUCAGAUGCUGUGGGCUUCCCGGCGCCUCAUUGCCCGAGGAGAGGCGGCCGCAGGUAGCUGAGCUGGAGCUAGCACAAGACCUACUCUCCACCCUUUUCCUUCCUGAUUUGAACCUCAAGAGGCCAACCUGCAUGGACUGCUUCCACAGAUCCCUUGUCCUCUGACUUACAGUUGAAUUCACCAAAUAGAAGACAUUGGAAAUGAGACCCGAGGGUUGGAGGAGGAGGAAGCCUGCAAUGUGAACACGAUGGCUGGAGCUCCGGCAGCCAUUCUGGACCAGGAGGUAGCCUUGAAGAUGGAAGCCACAUGUUGGGAUGGUGAAUCCAAAAGAUGAGGAGCCUGUAUCCCCUGUGACACCAGAACUGCCAUACCAGCCCUGGGUUCCUCCAUCUAUACUGCCUUCAUAUGGUAAAGAAAUAUUCUUGGAUCUUGUUAGGUGUCUGUUGCAGCCAAACACAAUCCCAACUGAUAUUCACUGUAAAUGAUUCCAUGGCUCCCUGUAGUACUUCUACAAAGCAUCUAUCACAAUUGUAAUUAAUAAAAUAAUUAUGCAA